rnacentral:lncRNA from 1 species
UGCCACAAACACAAGGAUUUAUAGUGGUUCGGUGCCAACCUUGCACCUACAUCCACUCCCCAAGCUCCUACUUGGGAAAUCCAAUCCACUAUACUUUGUAUUCAACCCGAAUACAGACGUCGGAACCUCCGACACUAGCUAUCUCAAGCUAGUCCACUUAUUUUCCGGGUACAAGCCGACCCAAUACACUCCGAUUUCAGGUUCGGAUCAACCUUCCCUUGUUUUGGAAACCCUCCAAAACAAAACAAUUACUCACAAGAUAAAAUCAGUUUAGAGCAUAAAUAAGUACAAGAAUAGCUCCUUAAAUGAGCGAGAAUAACAAUAAAUACGCUUUACUCAAAAGAAGAAGUCCUUCUUUGAUUUCCUCAAAAUGGAUGAGAAAAGGAAUAAAAGCUUGAGGAGUUGGUGAGCUUUGAUUGAAGGCUUCUUGAAGGCUUUAAAUGAGCUCUUGAAUGAG